UCCGUAGGUGAACNUGCGGAAGGAUCAUUA
rnacentral:rRNA from 1 species